rnacentral:rRNA from 1 species
UACGUAGGUAGCGAGCGUUGUUCGGAGUUACUGGGCGUAAAGGGUGUGUAGGCGGUUUUUUAAGUUUGGUGUGAAAUCUCCCGGCUCAACUGGGAGGGUGCGCCGAAUACUGAAUGACUUGGAGUGCGGGAGAGGAAAGUGGAAUUCCUGGUGUAGCGGUGAAAUGCGUAGAUAUCAGGAGGAACACCGGUGGUGAAGACGGCUUUCUGGACCGUAACUGACGCUGAGACACGAAAGCGUGGGUAGCAAACAGG